GACGAACGCUGGCGGCGUGCCUAAUACAUGCAAGUUGAGCGCUGAAGGUUGGUACUUGUACCAACUGGAUGAGCAGCGAACGGGUGAGUAACGCGUGGGGAAUCUGCCUUUGAGCGGGGGACAACAUUUGGAAACGAAUGCUAAUACCGCAUAAAACCUUUAAACACAAGUUUUAAGUUUGAAAGAUGCAAUUGCAUCACUAAAGGAGGAUCCCGCGUUGUAUUAGCUAGUUGGUGAGGUAAAGGCUCACCAAGGCGAUGAUACAUAGCCGACCUGAGAGGGUGAUCGGCCACAUUGGGACUGAGACACGGCCCAAACUCCUACGGGAGGCAGCAGUAGGGAAUCUUCGGCAAUGGACGAAAGUCUGACCGAGCAACGCCGCGUGAGUGAAGAAGGUUUUCGGAUCGUAAAACUCUGUUGGUAGAGAAGAACGUUGGUGAGAGUGGAAAGCUCAUCAAGUGACGGUAACUACCCAGAAAGGGACGGCUAACUACGUG
rnacentral:rRNA from 1 species